GAUGAACGCUGGCGGCGUGCCUAAUACAUGCAAGUAGAACGCUGAAGGAGGAGCUUGCUCUUCUGGAUGAGUUGCGAACGGGUGAGUAACGCGUAGGUAACCUGCCUGGUAGCGGGGGAUAACUAUUGGAAACGAUAGCUAAUACCGCAUGACAACAGUUAUUGCAUGAUAACUGUUUAAAAGGGGCAACUGCUCCACUACCAGAUGGACCUGCGUUGUAUUAGCUAGUUGGUGAGGUAACGGCUCACCAAGGCGACGAUACAUAGCCGACCUGAGAGGGUGAUCGGCCACACUUGGACUGAGACACGGCCCAGACUCCUACGGGAGGCAGCAGUAGGGAAUCUUCGGCAAUGGACGGAAGUCUGACCGAGCAACGCCGCGUGAGUGAAGAAGGUUUUCGGAUCGUAAAGCUCUGUUGUAAGAGAAGAACGAGUGUGAGAGUGGAAAGUUCACACUGUGACGGUAUCUUACCAGAAAGGGACGGCUAACUACGUG
rnacentral:rRNA from 1 species